rnacentral:lncRNA from 1 species
CAUAGAAUAUUAGUCUCGACAUACAACAUACUGGAAUAGCAAAUAACAUAAAAAGAUAAGUUUCGAUACAUUACAUCUUCACCACUUCCUUGUGUCCCUUAACAGGCUUAUCGGUUCAAAAUCACGUAAGAACAAGCCGAGCUUUUUGAUCCAGAAACAGCGGUUACACAUGUUAUCAUCCUUAGUGACAUCAAUGUGCCACAAGCAGUGACAUUGUCGCUGCACAAGAUUUGCACAUUGGCAUCUGUAGAAC